AAACAAAUCUGAUGAUAACUGCAACGAGA
rnacentral:guide_RNA from 1 species